GCCGAAAAUAGCUCAGGUGGGAGAGCGUCAGACUGAAGAUCUGAAGGUCCCUGGUUCAAUCCCGGGUUUCGGCA
rnacentral:tRNA from 1 species